rnacentral:misc_RNA from 1 species
GACAGAUCUGAUAACAUUCCAGGUUACCAUGUGCAUCUUUAUCAAUUAUUUAAUUAUACUAUGUCACUAUUUAUACACAAAUUUGUUAGUUAUUUUAUCCAUGUGGUUAUUUUCUUUGAAAUUCAACUUAAGGUCAACACACUUAUGUUCCUUUUCUCACCAUUAAAAACAAUGUCUGCUGCCAAAACAGCAUCCAAGAUCUAUUUCCUGUCUAUGAAAGAGCUCUGGUGGAAGAAAUAGUUUCUCCCAAGAGGGCAGUCAUGCUUACGCACAACACCUUGUGACAUUUUAUUUAUGUUAGGAGCAAAACUGAUGGGACAAAAAUUCUUGACCCUAUUGGAGCAAUUUAAUUUUUGAAACAAGAUUAAUGA